rnacentral:rRNA from 1 species
GAUGAACGCUGGCGGCGUGCCUAAUACAUGCAAGUCGAACGGGGUGUUUGAGCAAUCGGACACCUAGUGGCGAACGGGUGAGUAACGCGUUGGUGACCUGCCCCAAAGCGGGGGAUAACAGCCUGAAAGGGUUGCUAAUACCGCAUAUGAUGAUGAGAGACUAGAAGCGUAGCAUUAAAGGAGAAAUCCACUUCGGGAGGGGCGUGGGUCCCAUCAGCUAGUUGGUAGGGUAAAAGCCUACCAAGGCGAAGACGGGUAGGGGACCUGAGAGGGUGACCCCCCACAAUGGAACUGAAACACGGUCCAUACACCUACGGGUGGCAGCAGUAGGGGAUAUUGCACAAUGGGCGGAAGCCUGAUGCAGCAACGCCGCGUGAGUGAUGAAGGCCCUCGGGUCGUAAAACUCUUUUCAAGAGGAAGAGGAAGGACGGUACUCUUGGAAUAAGCCUCGGCUAACUACGUGCCAGCAGCCGCCGUAAUAC